UACGUAGGGUGCGAGCGUUGUUCGGAAUUACUGGGCGUAAAGGGCUCGUAGGCGGCCAACUAAGUCGGAUGUGAAAUCCCCAGGCUUAACCUGGGAACUGCAUCCGAUACUGGAUGGCUUGAAUCCGGGAGAGGGAUGCAGAAUUCCAGGUGUAGCGGUGAAAUGCGUAGAUAUCUGGAGGAAUACCGGUGGCGAAGGCGGCAUCCUGGACCGGCAUUGACGCUGAUGAGCGAAAGCUAGGGGAGCAAACGGG
rnacentral:rRNA from 1 species